rnacentral:rRNA from 1 species
AAUCAACGCUGGCGGCGUGCCUCAGACAUGCAAGUCGAACGCGAAAGUUUCCUUCGGGAGACAAGUAGAGUGGCGCACGGGUGAGUAACACGUAGGUAAUCUACCUUUGGAUGGGGAAUAACAACCGGAAACGGUUGCUAAUACCGCAUAAUGCAGCGGCACCUAAUGGUGACAGUUGUUAAAGCGGGGGAUCGAAAGACCUCGCGUCUGAAGAGGAGCCUGCGGCGGAUUAGCUAGUUGGUAAGGUAAUGGCUUACCAAGGCUACGAUCCGUAACCGGCCUGAGAGGGCGGUCGGUCACACUGACACUGACAUACGGGUCAGACUCCUACGGGAGGCAGCAGUCGGGAAUUUUGGGCAAUGGGCGAAAGCCUGACCCAGCAACGCCGCGUGAAGGAUGAAAUCCCUCGGGAUGUAAACUUCGCAAGAACGGGAAGAAUAAGUAGGGGACAAUACCCCCUAUGAUGACGGUACCGUAGUAAGCUCCGGCUAACUCCGUGCCAGCAGCCGCUGU